CACAAAUAUAAUAAUAGAUGGCGCUAUAUAGCUUUUAGAAACGUUCUGACAAACGAACCUUAUGUUUGCAAAUCAAAAUGACAUUGUAAACAUUUCAAAUAAAUUAUUAUGAUUCAUUUUCGUUAUUUAUAUGGUGGAUGUUGCUUUUGAAAAUGGCUUUAGAUCCCAUCUCAGCACUUUUGUUAGGGAGUUGCAUUAUGGGCUGUUGGCCAUGCUUACUACCGUGUUGCUUCACGCUACCGCUACUGUCCUUUCCUUUGAUAAUCGUACGUGAAUCACAGCCAAAUGACGGACAAGAAACGACAAGUAAUACAUACAAUUUAUUUUGGUCGAAAAGUGGAUUUGUAGUGAAGAAAAAGAAGUCAGUGAACAAAAAAAAACAAAUAUAAACAUUUUGUACCUA